GAACCAUUCAACUUCAGCUUCUUUGGCAUUGUGGUUGGGGCAUAGACUUGGAUUACUGUGAUAUUGAACGGUUUGCCUUGGAAAUGAACAGAGAUCAUCCUGUCCGUUUUGCAAAGGAAAAGCUCCUGUGAAACUGUCAUCUAUAUGUCAAAAAGUGGAGCUCACAGACCAACUGAAACCACAUGAGAAGACGCUAAGUCCCCAGAAACAACUUUCAUUUUUCUGCCUGCUUCUCGGCUCUGGCCUCUGGAGAAAAGUUCUCGCCUGCCUGCUUCGCUCAAGAGUUUAUCAGGCGGUUCCCCGGGACCCAGAUGGCCCAGCCACUCCUGAACCACCUGAGGAGGGAGUCUCACCAAAGCCUGCAUGGGGCCCCUUCCAGGGCAAGAGAACACGCCUUUUGAGGAUGACGAUCGCCCUCCUCUUCGCGGAGAGCCGCGGUCCUUACACACUCCGAGCUGGGAGUAGGCUCCCCGGCGUCCGGGGAGGGGGCGGUAGCAGGGAUCGGUCUUCCGCACGUUGUAGCUUGGCACCCACUCCCAAUGGCUCAAAAUUCUCCAAACAGCAGAAAGGGCUUGAAAAGAGAUAAAU
ensembl:lncRNA